AGAAAGAGGGUUAGGUUGAGUUGUGUUUGUGUUUGUGUGUGAAUUUGUUAGAUUGCAGUUUUUGUAGUGGUAGGUCUAGGUUUAUUUUAAAAGGAUAUGGAGAAUCCUGGCGGGAAUGCCUUAUGACUGUUCGUUAAUUGUUUGCCUAGACCUGCAAUUUUUUACUAGGAAGAUAUGUCACUCAAAACAAAUUUCUAAGAAUAUAUUACGAUUAAAUAAUUUCUUCGGAAAAGCAUUUGAGAUUAAAGAGGUGCUCUUCUGUCGUAGAGGUGAUAACGACCACAUAAGAAAAAGGCUGCGGAAAAUCAUGACCAAAUCCUGAUACGCUGUGACCGCCCUCCCCAG